UGAUACUAAGCCAUGCGAGUCAUUGUAGCAAUACAAGGCAUACGGCUCAGUAACGCGUAGUCAACCUAACCUAUGGACGGGAAUAACCUCGGGAAACUGAGAAUAAUGCCCGAUAGAACAUUAUGCCUGGAAUGGUUUAUGUUCCAAAUGAUUUAUCGCCGUAGGAUGGGACUGCGGCCUAUCAGUUUGUUGGUGAGGUAAUGGCCCACCAAGACUAUUACAGGUACGGGCUCUGAGAGGAGUAGCCCGGAGAUGGGUACUGAGACACGGACCCAGGCCCUAUGGGGCGCAGCAGGCGAGAAAACUUUGCAAUGUGCGAAAGCACGACAAGGUUAAUCCGAGUGGUUUCUGCUAAAGGAACCUUUUGUCAGUCCUAGAAACACUGAUGAAUAAGGGGUGGGCAAGUUCUGGUGUCAGCCGCCGCGGUAAAACCAGCACCUCAAGUGGUCAGGAUGAUUAUUGGGCCUAAAGCAUCCGUAGCCGGCUCUGUAAGUUUUCGGUUAAAUCUGUACGCUCAACGUACAGGCUGCCGGGAAUACUGCAAAGCUAGGGAGUGGGAGAGGUAGACGGUACUCGGUAGGAAGGGGUAAAAUCCUUUGAUCUAUUGAUGACCACCUGUGGCGAAGGCGGUCUACCAGAACACGUCCGACGGUGAGGGAUGAAAGCUGGGGGAGCAAACCGGAUUAGAUACCCGGGUAGUCCCAGCUGUAAACCAUGCAAACUCAGUGAUGCAUUGGCUUGUGGCCAAUGCAGUGCUGCAGGGAAGCCGUUAAGUUUGCCGCCUGGGAAGUACGUACGCAAGUAUGAAACUUAAAGGAAUUGGCGGGGGAGCACCACAAGGGGUGAGGCCUGCGGUUCAAUUGG
rnacentral:rRNA from 1 species